rnacentral:rRNA from 1 species
UACGUAGGGGGCUAGCGUUGUCCGGAUUUAUUGGGCGUAAAGAGCGUGUAGGCGGCCAGGUAGGUCUGGUGUGAAAACUCGAGGCUUAACCUCGAGAUGUCAUCGGAAACCAUCUGGCUAGAGUCCGGAAGAGGAGAAUGGAAUUCCCGGUGUAGCGGUGAAAUGCGCAGAUAUCGGGAAGAACACCCGUGGCGAAGGCGGUUCUCUGGGACGGUACUGACGCUGAGACGCGAAGGCGUGGGGAGCGAACAGG